UGCAAUGUGCGCAAGCACGACAAGGUUAAUCCGAGUGUUUCCUGCUAAAGGAAUCUUUUGUUAGUUCUAAAACCACUAUCGAAUAAGGGGUGGGCAAGUUCUGGUGUCAGCCGCCGCGGUAAUACA
rnacentral:rRNA from 1 species